GGGGCCGACCUGGUUUCGACGUGGGUAGUGAAGGAGCGCAGGGCAUACCGAGGACCGAUUCCCUCGUAAAUCCAUUCGGAAAUUAAUAAACGCCAACGACGAGCGUUUCGCUCUCGCCGCUUAAACCCGGCGGGCGCUGCACUGGUUCUCUGAUGGGCCAGGCGGGGUAAAACCCGCAGCAGUGUCAUUUACAUCAGAUCGUCACCGGAUAAGCCGUGGGUUCGGUGCCUAAAACAAGCGGAUCGUCGGUUGCCGGCCUGUCUGUCGGCUAAGCAACCCGAUUAAAUUUAAAUAGACCGACUAAGUAUGUAGAACUGUCUUUGGAAGACUUGCGGACGCGGGUUCGAUUCCCGCCGGCUCCACCA
rnacentral:tmRNA from 1 species